AGAGUGCUUGAAAUUGUC
rnacentral:snRNA from 1 species